rnacentral:snoRNA from 1 species
AGGUCUAUGAUGACAAACCAAUGUCAGGCAGAGAGGUGAUGACAUAAAAAUCAUGAUUACACUGAGGCCC